rnacentral:lncRNA from 1 species
UUAUUAUCAUGACUCAUCAUUUAAUCAAUACAGAAGUAGUGAGCAUGUUCUGUAGGAAAUGACGUGCGUUAUGUAUCUUUAAUUGAUUAGUGGAAUCUUAUUUAAAAAAAACAAAAGAAAUAUUAGUGCAUUAGUUUACCUGUAAUUACUGUACUAUAAUGAUUAUAAUUUUUUUUGUUAUCGAUCACAAAUUUAUAAAAGAUAUUGUGCGUUAUAAGUAAUGAUGACUAAUAGCGAAUAACUUGUGAUAAUUUUUACGGUUAUAAUACAUAAAGUUUGUAAAGUAGUUUUGCCCUGUACUAAAUAAGAAUGACAUAAUUUUAUUAAUUACUCUCAAGUCAUUUUUUAUAGUGUGACCACUGUGCAUCAUGUGCACAAUAAAUACAUAAUGCUAACAGUUUCAUUGCAUUUUAAAGUUUUUUAUUGUAUAUCUCGUGCUUCUAUUUAUUGUCCCAAGAUUUUGAGGAGUACAUGAAAAAUCUGGAGCGAUCGGUGCAUUGAUAAGGCUGCAUUACAGUUUUGCUCAUUGACAUCACCAAACAUUUAUAAUAAAC